rnacentral:tRNA from 1 species
GCGGAUAUAGUCGAAUGGUAAAAUUUCUCUUUGCCAAGGAGAAGACGCGGGUUACGGGUUCGAUUCCUGCUAUCCGUC